rnacentral:rRNA from 1 species
UACAGAGGGGGCAAGCGUUGUUCGGAAUUACUGGGCGUAAAGGGCGCGUAGGCGGCCUGUUAAGUCGAACGUGAAAUCCCCGGGCUCAACCCGGGAACUGCGUCCGAUACUGGCAGGCUUGAAUCCGGGAGAGGGAUGCGGAAUUCCAGGUGUAGCGGUGAAAUGCGUAGAUAUCAGGAGGAACACCUGUGGCGAAGGCGUCCAUCUGGCCCGUUACUGACGCUGAGGCGCGAAAGCUAGGGGAGCAAACGGG